UAGUAGAUAAUAUGCAGAGUAUACAAGUCCUUGCCAUGUUUUUCCACAGCUUUCUUGAACUUUUCAAUCUACGUACAUAUGUACUCGAGCACUUCCGAUCUAUUUCUUGUGCGAUGCUAUUAGAAAGCUCAAGAAAGCUGUGGGAGGACAUGUCGAUUUCUGGACUUAAUGCUUCAAAUUUCAUGCUAAUCAGUGGAUUUGUAGCUAGAUACAUGAUGGAAUUUCACUAACCACGUCACAACUCUUCAAAUUAGCUCUUCAGUUCCUAUAAUAUUUCCAGAAAUGGCGGAAGAAGUGUUGCUCCCGAGAUGCUGUAUGCUUGUCUGAAUGACUAUAUUUCUGUAAGUUUUUUUUUUACUAGAGCACACUCAAUAACGCUGAGUAUGCUUAUUUUUCCGAAUCUGUUACGUGUUUUAUCAUGUCGUUGGGAGUUUGAAGACUAAUUAGGAGCAAUGGAGCAUCGAAUGAGUGGAAGACGGUUGAGGCAGCGGAGUGGAACCACUGGCCGAACAAACGGAGCUGACUAAGCGAAUUACUAGGGUUUCGAAUGAGAAUAGUGCUUAGAAGUAUAAUUCGAUCAGAUCUAGCUCGUCGUUAGAUCUGUAAGUUUUAAUUGUCUCGGCCAUUUUUAAUGAUAAAUUCGAUUCAUCUCACUAGUGGCGGAGCACCGGAGGACGGUCUAGUAGAAGACGGUUGUAACGGCAGAGCGUAACCACCAGACGAGGCGGAGCAGACUAUGGAAAUUACUAGGGUUUUGACUUUGGAAGUUGGACUGCGUUUAACAUUCUGUAAUUAGAUCUCUCGUAGCUUGAUUUGUUGAAUUUGAUAUUACUUUGAAUCAUCUCGCUGAUUUUUAAUGGUAUAUCUUCAUCCGAUUCAUUUUAGUAUGAGCGGACUACGGCGGCUCCGGCAAUUCUGCUCGCCACCUGAACGACUAGAUCCGAAGUGUUGAAGACUGUGGACCACCAUUGAUUGAUACACUAUCAGCCAUUUAGCAUCAUCCUGGUUUUAAGCUUAUCUUUUAAAAUGGUAAACGUGACACUCAUUAUACCCUUGAAUUCCUCUUACUUUUUUUUUUACAAAAGAAAAAAAAAAGCAGUUUUAUGGGGUGUUUGAGAUUACUAGUUUAUUGUGGUUUAAUAAUGUUAAUAAGUAGUAAAAAGUGUUUAAAAAUGGUAAAUUGUAUCAUCUAAUUAAUUAAAGAUUUAGGAUUUGAACCCUAGACCUUAACUACUAGGUUCCUAUUGCCAGAAACAGUAAAAAGUGUUUACAUGUGAAAACAAAUUCAUCUUUUUACUACUAUUUUAAUGAAAAAAAAAACAUAUAGAUUGUAGCCUCAUCUUUGUUUAUUCAGUCUACCGAUUUUCCUUUUUACCCGUAUCUUCUUAGGUGAUUUAAACAACUUCUUGUAUUUUUUACCACAUAACUUGAUACAAACAUUUUUUUUCUAGGCUCAUAUAAACUAAUAUUUUUUUUUUUCUUGACUCAUAUAAACUAAACACACUUUGAAGGAAAAAGCAUAAACAUGAGGUAUGUAUGUUUGAGAAAUUACUAUAGAGUAUGUGUGAUUGUAAUGUGUAUUGUGUAAUUGUGUAUAGAUAUUAGAUACUAAUAGAUAGGGCCGGGGGAGCCCAUAUAAGCCAGAAAGCAGGCAGAAGUGGAAGAAGGGAAUCACGAGGCGUCAAUAAAGAUGGGAAGUUUGUAAGUUAAGGGACAGACAGAAGCAUAACAUGUUAUGGAGGGUACUAAGGUACAACCUUAGAAUGCACACAAACUUUUACCACAAUAUACGUCUGCAUGCAUGUACUUCCACUCAAUCCAUGUUCUUUCCCACACCACUUUUUAAGGUUGUAAAAUAUUAUAUACUUUUUCAUUUUAUUUUUUAUAUUUUCAUUUAUAAAUUAUUUACAGAGUGAGUUUAACUGUGAAUGAAAUUUAACUAUGAAGUUUAACAUAUAUAUUAUAUAUAAUUCAAUGUA